UUAAGCGACUAAGCGUACACGGUGGAUGCCCUGGCAGUCAGAGGCGAUGAAGGACGUGCUAAUCUGCGAUAAGCGUCGGUAAGGUGAUAUGAACCGUUAUAACCGGCGAUUUCCGAAUGGGGAAACCCAGUGUGUUUCGACACACUAUCAUUAACUGAAUCCAUAGGUUAAUGAGGCGAACCGGGGGAACUGAAACAUCUAAGUACCCCGAGGAAAAGAAAUCAACCGAGAUUCCCCCAGUAGCGGCGAGCGAACGGGGAGCAGCCCAGAGCCUGAAUCAGUGUGUGUGUUAGUGGAAGCGUCUGGAAAGGCGCGCGAUACAGGGUGACAGCCCCGUACACAAAAAUGCACAUAUUGUGAGCUCGAUGAGUAGGGCGGGACACGUGGUAUCCUGUCUGAAUAUGGGGGGACCAUCCUCCAAGGCUAAAUACUCCUGACUGACCGAUAGUGAACCAGUACCGUGAGGGAAAGGCGAAAAGAACCCCGGCGAGGGGAGUGAAAAAGAACCUGAAACCGUGUACGUACAAGCAGUGGGAGCCUCUUUUAUGGGGUGACUGCGUACCUUUUGUAUAAUGGGUCAGCGACUUAUAUUCUGUAGCAAGGUUAACCGAAUAGGGGAGCCGAAGGGAAACCGAGUCUUAACUGGGCGUUAAGUUGCAGGGUAUAGACCCGAAACCCGGUGAUCUAGCCAUGGGCAGGUUGAAGGUUGGGUAACACUAACUGGAGGACCGAACCGACUAAUGUUGAAAAAUUAGCGGAUGACUUGUGGCUGGGGGUGAAAGGCCAAUCAAACCGGGAGAUAGCUGGUUCUCCCCGAAAGCUAUUUAGGUAGCGCCUCGUGAAUUCAUCUCCGGGGGUAGAGCACUGUUUCGGCAAGGGGGUCAUCCCGACUUACCAACCCGAUGCAAACUGCGAAUACCGGAGAAUGUUAUCACGGGAGACACACGGCGGGUGCUAACGUCCGUCGUGAAGAGGGAAACAACCCAGACCGCCAGCUAAGGUCCCAAAGUCAUGGUUAAGUGGGAAACGAUGUGGGAAGGCCCAGACAGCCAGGAUGUUGGCUUAGAAGCAGCCAUCAUUUAAAGAAAGCGUAAUAGCUCACUGGUCGAGUCGGCCUGCGCGGAAGAUGUAACGGGGCUAAACCAUGCACCGAAGCUGCGGCAGCGACGCUGAUGCGUUGUUGGGUAGGGGAGCGUUCUGUAAGCCUGUGAAGGUGUGCUGUGAGGCAUGCUGGAGGUAUCAGAAGUGCGAAUGCUGACAUAAGUAACGAUAAAGCGGGUGAAAAGCCCGCUCGCCGGAAGACCAAGGGUUCCUGUCCAACGUUAAUCGGGGCAGGGUGAGUCGACCCCUAAGGCGAGGCCGAAAGGCGUAGUCGAUGGGAAACAGGUUAAUAUUCCUGUACUUGGUGUUACUGCGAAGGGGGGACGGAGAAGGCUAUGUUGGCCGGGCGACGGUUGUCCCGGUUUAAGCGUGUAGGCUGGUUUUCCAGGCAAAUCCGGAAAAUCAAGGCUGAGGCGUGAUGACGAGGCACUACGGUGCUGAAGCAACAAAUGCCCUGCUUCCAGGAAAAGCCUCUAAGCAUCAGGUAACAUCAAAUCGUACCCCAAACCGACACAGGUGGUCAGGUAGAGAAUACCAAGGCGCUUGAGAGAACUCGGGUGAAGGAACUAGGCAAAAUGGUGCCGUAACUUCGGGAGAAGGCACGCUGAUAUGUAGGUGAAGCGACUUGCUCGUGGAGCUGAAAUCAGUCGAAGAUACCAGCUGGCUGCAACUGUUUAUUAAAAACACAGCACUGUGCAAACACGAAAGUGGACGUAUACGGUGUGACGCCUGCCCGGUGCCGGAAGGUUAAUUGAUGGGGUCAGCGCAAGCGAAGCUCUUGAUCGAAGCCCCGGUAAACGGCGGCCGUAACUAUAACGGUCCUAAGGUAGCGAAAUUCCUUGUCGGGUAAGUUCCGACCUGCACGAAUGGCGUAAUGAUGGCCAGGCUGUCUCCACCCGAGACUCAGUGAAAUUGAACUCGCUGUGAAGAUGCAGUGUACCCGCGGCAAGACGGAAAGACCCCGUGAACCUUUACUAUAGCUUGACACUGAACAUUGAGCCUUGAUGUGUAGGAUAGGUGGGAGGCUUUGAAGUGUGGACGCCAGUCUGCAUGGAGCCGACCUUGAAAUACCACCCUUUAAUGUUUGAUGUUCUAACGUUGACCCGUGAUCCGGGUUGCGGACAGUGUCUGGUGGGUAGUUUGACUGGGGCGGUCUCCUCCUAAAGAGUAACGGAGGAGCACGAAGGUUGGCUAAUCCUGGUCGGACAUCAGGAGGUUAGUGCAAUGGCAUAAGCCAGCUUGACUGCGAGCGUGACGGCGCGAGCAGGUGCGAAAGCAGGUCAUAGUGAUCCGGUGGUUCUGAAUGGAAGGGCCAUCGCUCAACGGAUAAAAGGUACUCCGGGGAUAACAGGCUGAUACCGCCCAAGAGUUCAUAUCGACGGCGGUGUUUGGCACCUCGAUGUCGGCUCAUCACAUCCUGGGGCUGAAGUAGGUCCCAAGGGUAUGGCUGUUCGCCAUUUAAAGUGGUACGCGAGCUGGGUUUAGAACGUCGUGAGACAGUUCGGUCCCUAUCUGCCGUGGGCGCUGGAGAACUGAGGGGGGCUGCUCCUAGUACGAGAGGACCGGAGUGGACGCAUCACUGGUGUUCGGGUUGUCAUGCCAAUGGCACUGCCCGGUAGCUAAAUGCGGAAGAGAUAAGUGCUGAAAGCAUCUAAGCACGAAACUUGCCCCGAGAUGAGUUCUCCCUGACUCCUUGAGAGUCCUGAAGGAACGUUGAAGACGACGACGUUGAUAGGCCGGGUGUGUAAGCGCAGCGAUGCGUUGAGCUAACCGGUACUAAUGAACCGUGAGGCUUAACCUU
rnacentral:rRNA from 1 species